GCUAACCUCAACUCCUAAUCUUGCCAUUGAUGAAUGGUGUUGUAGAAAGGAAAUGAGAAUCAUCCUAAAAAUGUUUAGAAAUAUGGCGAUGACACAAAGACGAAAUUGCUGCAGGAAGACAUCAUUAGCUCUGAAAGGACCAAGAGUCCAGCUAAGGAGGAAAAGAAACCAUCCAUAUGUUAUUACCUCCUCUUUCUUUUGUUUUUCCUCUUUAAACUUGUAGCUUUUAAAAUUCCUUCUUCCCCUAAUUUCUUGCAUUUUCACUUUUUUGU